rnacentral:rRNA from 1 species
AACGAACGCUGGCGGCAUGCCUAACACAUGCAAGUCGAACGAGACCUUCGGGUCUAGUGGCGCACGGGUGCGUAACGCGUGGGAACCUGCCCUUAGGUUCGGAAUAACUCCCCGAAAGGGGUGCUAAUACCGGAUAAUGUCUUCGGACCAAAGAUUUAUCGCCUUUGGAUGGGCCCGCGUUGGAUUAGCUAGUUGGUAGGGUAAAAGCCUACCAAGGCGCCGAUCCAUAGCUGGUCUGAGAGGAUGAUCAGCCACACUGGGACUGAGACACGGCCCAGACUCCUACGGGAGGCAGCAGUGGGGAAUAUUGGACAAUGGGCGAAAGCCUGAUCCAGCAAUGCCGCGUGAGUGAUGAAGGCCUUAGGGUUGUAAAGCUCUUUUACCCGGGAUGAUAAUGACAGUACCGGGAGAAUAAGCUCCGGCUAACUCCGU